GACGAACGCUGGCGGCGUGCCUAAUACAUGCAAGUCGAACGCUUCUUACUUAUCGAACUUCGGUUCACCAAGUAAGAGGAGUGGCGAACGGGUGAGUAACACGUGGGUAACCUGCCCAUCAGAGGGGGAUAACACUUGGAAACAGGUGCUAAUACCGCAUAAUUCAGUUUACCGCAUGGUAGAGUGAUGAAAGGCGCGUUUGCGUCACUGAUGGAUGGACCCGCGGUGCAUUAGCUAGUUGGUAGGGUAAUGGCCUACCAAGGCAACGAUGCAUAGCCGACCUGAGAGGGUGAUCGGCCACACUGGGACUGAGACACGGCCCAGACUCCUACGGGAGGCAGCAGUAGGGAAUCUUCGGCAAUGGACGAAAGUCUGACCGAGCAACGCCGCGUGAGUGAAGUAGGUUUUCGGAUCGUAAAACUCUGUUGUUAGAGAAGAACAAGGAUGAGAGUAAAAUGUUCAUCCCUUGACGGUAUCUAACCAGAAAGCCACGGCUAACUACGUGCCAGCCGCCGCCGUAA
rnacentral:rRNA from 1 species